rnacentral:rRNA from 1 species
GAUGAACGCUAGCGGCAGGCUUAAUACAUGCAAGUCGUGGGGCAGCAGGGGUGUAGCAAUACAUCUGCUGGCGACCGGCAAACGGGUGCGUAACACGUACGCAACCUUCCCGUUACUGUGGCAUAGCCCAGGGAAACUUGGAUUAAUACCACAUAUUAUAUUGAUGAGGCAUCUCAUUGAUAUCAAAGCUUCGGCGGUAACGGAUGGGCGUGCGGUUGAUUAGGUAGUUGGCGGGGUAACGGCCCACCAAGCCUACGAUCAAUAGCUGAUGUGAGAGCAUGAUCAGCCACACGGGCACUGAGACACGGGCCCGACUCCUACGGGAGGCAGCAGUAAGGAAUAUUGGGCAAUGGACGAAAGUCUGACCCAGCCAUGCCGCGUGAAGGAUUAAGGUCCUCUGGAUUGUAAACUUCUUUUCUUUGGGGCGAAAACCAGCUAUUCUUAGCUAUUUGACAGUACCAGAGGAAUAAGCACCGGCUAACUCCGUGCCAGCCGCCGCUGUAACAC